CUAAAGAGGUGAUAUUUGAGUGAUGAGGAGUCAGCCUUGUGAGCUGCUCGAGAAGAGUAUUCUUGCAGAGAAAAUUGAACCAUGACCUGCCUCUCCCUUCCCCUCCCACUUCAGCCAUGUGAUCAAUUUCCCAAGUGCCUCUUCCAUCUUGAAGGGUGUGUCUACUCUUGUCUCUCCUAGUUGGCCUGAUUCCACCAAUGAAGAAAGCUCUGGCAUUAGCAGAUGUCAGUAAAGACUAUCAGAGAUUGAUGUUAUGCGCCUUGGGAUUGAAUCUUUGAAAUUCGCCAGUCCCCUUCUUUUGGAAAUCUGGACAACAUUUAUAUUUGAGGACUGUCUGCAAUUUAAAUGUGCACAGAAUGAGACUCAGAAAGGUGGAGACUCCCAGUAAAGGAUGACAGAGGGCACAGAAGCCACCAGCAGAUUCUUUGGAAGGAAGUAACAGGAGUGGAACUUCAUUUUCCCAUGGAUUGUAAAGGGCUGGGCUCCCUUCCACCUCUUCUCACUGGCCUCCUGUUUGUACCCCUGACCUCUCCGGGAUCUUCUUGCUAUGUCACCCAGGCUGGAGUGCAGUUGCGCCAUCUCGGAUCACCACAACCUCCACCUCCUGUGUUCAAGUGAUCUGCCUCAGCCUCCCAAGUAGCUGAGAUGACAGACUUCCCACUGGGUUCCAGCCGGCACACCCAACCUCUUCAGGACCUGGAGGUCAUCAUAUGAAGACAAAGGCAGAGAUCAGGAUGAUUCUUCCACAAGACAAGAGCUCCAGUGAUUGCCAGCACACCCCCAGAAGCCAGGGGAGAGACCUGGACCACAUUCUCCCUGAACGCCCUCAGAAGGAACCAACCCAACGACACGUUGAUUCCAGACUGCAGCAUUCCAGAACUGUGAGACAAUACAUUUCUGUUGUUUAAGCCACUUUCUCAGCGGUACUUUAUUACAGCAGCCCUGGGGAAGUAAUCAAGUGCCUUUUGAUGAUUGCUUUAGUUGAACUGUCCACUCAGCUCUUAACUCUGCCCUCUUUGUCUCUCAGAUCUGCUUCUCUUCUAUGCUCAGUGGGUGAAUGCGGACCCUUCCAUAGUACAGACCAGGCCC
rnacentral:lncRNA from 10 species